rnacentral:lncRNA from 1 species
AAACUAACACUAAAACUACUUAGUUGUUUAAUUAGUUCUCGUCUGUUCUUCUUUCGUAUCCUAAUUCCUUGUGUCUUUUCUUUCAUUUGUCUUUUGUUUUUCUUAGUUUAACAUUUGAAUUCAAGUCUUUACUUCUUAAUUGAGUCAAUUUUUUUACUUUUAAAUGAGUCAUCCAUAAUUGCUUCAUCUUCUUUCUACCAUUUACUGAGCCAUGGGUGG